rnacentral:rRNA from 1 species
UACGUAGGUCACAAGCGUUGUCCGGAUUUAUUGGGCGUAAAGGGAGCGCAGGCGGUUUGUUAAGUCUGAUGUGAAAGCCCACGGCUCAACCGUGGAACGGCAUUGGAAACUGGCAAACUUGAGUGCAGAAGAGGAAAGUGGAAUUCCAUGUGUAGCGGUGAAAUGCGUAGAUAUAUGGAGGAACACCAGUGGCGAAGGCGACUUUCUGGUCUGUAACUGACGCUGAGGCUCGAAAGCGUGGGGAGGCGAACAGGAUUAGAUACCCU